GGGCCCGCACAAGCGGUGGAGCAUGUGGUUUAAUUCGAUGAUACGCGAGGAACCUUACCAGGGCUUAAAUGUAGGAUGCAUUAGCUAGAGAUAGCUAUUUCUUCGGACUUCUUACAAGGUGCUGCAUGGUUGUCGUCAGCUCGUGCCGUGAGGUGUCAGGUUAAGUCCUAUAACGAGCGCAACCCCUGUCGUUAGUUGCCAGCAUGUAAAGAUGGGGACUCUAACGAGACUGCCGGUGUAAACCGCGAGGAAGGUGGGGAUGACGUCAAAUCAUCACGGCCCUUACGUCCUGGCUACACACGUGCUACAAUGGUAUGGACAAUGAGCAGCCACUAUGCGAAUAGGAGCG
rnacentral:rRNA from 1 species